rnacentral:rRNA from 1 species
AAGUCGAACGGUAACAUUGGUGCUUGCACCAGAUGACGAGUGGCGCACGGGUGCGUAACGCGUAUGCAAUCUACCUUUUACUAGAGUAUAGCCCAGAGAAAUUUGGAUUAAUCCUCUAUAAUAUCUUUUAAUUUCAUGAUUUUAAGAUUAAAGUUUUAACGGUAAAAGAUGAGCAUGCGUCCUAUUAGUUUGUAGGUGAGGUAACGGCUCACCUAGACUACGAUAGGUAGGGGCCCUGAGAGGGGGAUCCCCCACACUGGUACUGAGACACGGACCAGACUCCUACGGGAGGCAGCAGUAAGGAAUAUUGGACAAUGGACGAAAGUCUGAUCCAGCCAUGCCGCGUGCAGGAUGAAAGCCCUACGGGUUGUAAACUGCUUUUAUACAGGAAGAAACACUCCGACGUGUCGGAGCUUGACGGUACUGUAAGAAUAAGGAUCGGCUAACUCCGUGCCAGCAGCCGCGGUAAUACGGAGGAUCCAAGCGUUAUCCGGAAUCAUUGGGUUUAAAGGGUCCGCAGGCUGUUUUUUAAGUCAGAGGUGAAAUCCUACAGCUCAACUGUAGAACUGCCUUUGAUACUGAAAAACUUGAGUUAUUGUGAAGUGGUUAGAAUGUGUGGUGUAGCGGUGAAAUGCAUAGAUAUCACACAGAAUACCGAUUGCGAAGGCAGAUCACUAACAAUAUACUGACGCUCAUGGACGAAAGCGUGGGGAGCGAACAGGAUUAGAUACCCUGGUAGUCCACGCCGUAAACGAUGGAUACUAGCUGUUCGUCUAACAUUGGUUAGAUGAGUGGCUAAGCGAAAGUGAUAAGUAUCCCACCUGGGGAGUACGGUCGCAAGACUGAAACUCAAAGGAA